AACGAACGCUGGCGGCGCGUCUUAAGCAUGCAAGUCGAACGGCAAGAUUGGUGCUUGCACCGAUCCUAGAGUGGCGGACUGGUGAGUAACGCGUGGGUGACGUACCCUAAGGAUGGGGAUAGCUGGUAGAAAUAUCAGAUAAUACCGAAUAUCCUUAUUGUUGUUAGAGGACAGUAAGGAAAGGAGCUUUGGCUUCGCCUAAGGAUCGGCCCGCGUACUAUUAGCUAGUUGGUGAGGUAACGGCUCACCAAGGCGACGAUAGUUAUCCGGCCUAAGAGGGUGAACGGAUACAUUGGGACUGAGAUACGGCCCAGACUCCUACGGGAGGCAGCAGCUAAGAAUAUUACGCAAUGGAGGAAACUCUGACGGAGCGACGCCGCGUGGAUGAUGAAGGCCGGAAGGUUGUAAAAUCCUUUUAAGCAAGAAGAAUAAACUUUACAGGGAAUGGUAGAGUGGUGACGGUAUUGCUUGAAUAAGCAACGGCUAAUUACGUGCCAGCCGCCGCCGUAAUAC
rnacentral:rRNA from 1 species